CACGUAGGGCGCAAGCGUUGUCCGGAAUUAUUGGGCGUAAAGAGCUCGUAGGCGGUCUGUUGCGUCCGCUGUGAAAACUCGGGCUUAACCCGAGCCUGCAGUGGAUACGGGCAGACUAGAGGUAGGUAGGGGAGAAUGGAAUUCCCGGUGUAGCGGUGAAAUGCGCAGAUAUCGGGAGGAACACCGGUGGCGAAGGCGGUUCUCUGGGCCAUUACUGACACUGAGAGCGAAGCAUGGGGAGCGAACAGG
rnacentral:rRNA from 1 species